rnacentral:rRNA from 1 species
CCUACGGGCGGCAGCAGUAGGGAAUCUUCCACAAUGGACGCAAGUCUGAUGGAGCCACGCCGCGUGUGUGAAGAAGGGUUUCGGCUCGUAAAGCUCUGUUGGCAGGGAAGAAGGAUAGAGGUAGAAACUGGCCUUUAUUUGACGGUAACUACUUAGAAAGUCACGGCUAACUCCGUGCCAGCAGCCGCGGUAAUACGUAGGUGGCAAGCGUUGUUCGGAUUUAUUGGGCGUAAAGCGAGUGCAGGCGGUUCAAUAAGUCAGAUGUGAAAGCCUUGGGCUCAACAGGGGAAUUGCAUCAGAAACUGUUGAACUUGAGUGCAGUAGAGGGGAGUGGAACUCCAUGUGUAGCGGUGGAAUGCGUAGAGAUAUGGAAGAACACCAGUGGCGAAGGCGGCUCUCUGGUCGGCAACUGACGCUGAGGCUCGAAAGCAUGGGGAGCGAACAGGAUUAGAUACCCUAGUAGUC